rnacentral:misc_RNA from 1 species
CGCACAUUGCGCCCACUAGCACUCUAGUGGGCAUGCCUGUUCGAGCGUCAUUACAACCCUCAGGCUAUCCCCGAGAGGGGAAUAAGCCUGGCGUUGGGGCGCUACAACGCGAUUAUGCGCUGUAGGCCCCGAAUUUUAGUGGCGGGCCCGCCGGGACCUCAGCGUAGUAGAUUCUAUCGCUCGGGCCGUUCCGGCGCGCGCACGGCCGUUAAAUCCCCUAACCUUACAAGGUUGACCUCGGAUCAGGUAGGAAUACCCGCUGAACUUAA